rnacentral:rRNA from 1 species
CGGCAGGCUUAACACAUGCAAGUCGAACGAUGAUUUCCCAGCUUGCUGGGAAUGAUUAGUGGCGGACGGGUGAGUAACAUUUAGGAAUCUGCCUAGUAGUGGGGGAUAGCUCGGGGAAACUCGAAUUAAUACCGCAUACGACCUACGGGUGAAAGGGGGCGCAAGCUCUUGCUAUUAGAUGAGCCUAAAUCAGAUUAGCUAGUUGGUGGGGUAAAGGCCCACCAAGGCGACGAUCUGUAACUGGUCUGAGAGGAUGAUCAGUCACACCGGAACUGAGACACGGUCCGGACUCCUACGGGAGGCAGCAGUGGGGAAUAUUGGACAAUGGGGGCAACCCUGAUCCAGCCAUGCCGCGUGUGUGAAGAAGGCCUUUUGGUUGUAAAGCACUUUAAGCAGGGAGGAGAGGCUAAUGGUUAAUACCCAUUAGAUUAGACGUUACCUGCAGAAUAAGCACCGGCUAACUCUGUGCCAGCAGCCGCGGUAAUACAGAGGGUGCGAGCGUUAAUCGGAAUUACUGGGCGUAAAGCGAGUGUAGGUGGCUCAUUAAGUCACAUGUGAAAUCCCCGGGCUUAACCUGGGAACUGCAUGUGAUACUGGUGGUGCUAGAAUAUGUGAGAGGGAAGUAGAAUUCCAGGUGUAGCGGUGAAAUGCGUAGAGAUCUGGAGGAAUACCGAUGGCGAAGGCAGCUUCCUGGCAUAAUAUUGACACUGAGAUUCGAAAGCGUGGGUAGCAAACAGGAUUAGAUACCCUGGUAGUCCACGCCGUAAACGAUGUCUACUAGCCGUUGGGGUCCUUGAGACUUUAGUGGCGCAGUUAACGCGAUAAGUAGACCGC